CAGUGAACACCCACUUGCAUCCAGUGGAUUUUUUCUCAUUCGGGAGAGUAGUAAGAGCCCAUUUCCCAUUCUUUGCCAAAGCCUUCACUCCUUAAUCAUAGCAGUCUUCCAUUUUGGAUUAAGACAUGUUUCCUUCCAACCUUGUGGUUUAGAAACAGAAGAAAUAGACAAGACAAAGGCUUUAUAGGAGGGAGAUAAAGAAUCAUAAGAAACAAAUUUGGAUAUAGGAUGUUGGUGCAAGUCCUAACUCAUUUUCUGAGAGCAAUGGGUAUGUCAAGAAUCAUCAGUAGAAGAGUUAGAAUCAAAUUGAGUAUUGAAAGGAGUAUCAGAAGAAAGGGACUCAUCACAUAAUUCUUUAGGCUGUGGAUGUUCAGGAGCUAAAUCCAGGGGAUCUAACUGAUCAGUCAUAUCAUGCUCAAUGAUUGUUUUUCUCUUGUUCUGACUAGUGUAGACUCUUAAAUCCAAUUUAUUCAGGAUGAGUAAAUGAUGGUGAUGGUUGGUCCUUAUUCUUAUUGCUACGAUUGGGUUCAAACAAUAUCUCUCCUUGGAAAGAUAAAAAAGUCAAUAUCUUGUGUGUUUGGCAAGUUCACAAAUAUCACAAACUAAAAAUUCUAAUUUGUAUUGUCUAAACAAAGAGGGAUAUAACCUUUCUAAAGUUAAAAAAGAAGGAUGUCCUAAUCUCUUAUGC
rnacentral:misc_RNA from 1 species